UGUAGGAGUGGUUUCUGUAGCUAAUUCCAUCAACGAGGGAGACCUUAGCCUGUUAGAUAUUACGCGUAGAUUCGGUUACGCGGGCACCUUCUGAGAGGGACUUUGAGCGUCUAACGCAAGGAAGCUUGAGGUAGUGACC
rnacentral:rRNA from 1 species